ensembl:snRNA U6 U6 spliceosomal RNA
GGGCUCAGUUCACGUACUAGAAUCGGAACAAUACAGAGGAGAUUAACAUAGCCCCUGUGCAAGGACAUGCAAAUUCAUAAAGCACUGUGCAUUUUC